rnacentral:lncRNA from 1 species
UGAGGUGCAGGCAUUUAAAAGGGAUGUUCAACCUUUUGUACAGCUCUCAUGGAUUAGGGAACUCAAUUAGAAAGUCCAAAGAGGGCUUUGCAGCCUUCUGUCUGGGUUUAACAGCCAAGUCUUAGCUUGGUCUCUCCACCUAGAGAGAUCCUUACAUGCAAAAAGCUCACAGAAGAGGAUUUAAUAUGGAUAUCAUGUUCAAGAUUUUGUGAUAAAAUACAGGAUGAUCUCUUACUUGAUGCACUCAUCUACCUUCUUAAAAGGAUUUAAAAAAGGCU